UACGUAGGGUGCAAGCGUUGUCCGGAAUUAUUGGGCGUAAAGAGCUCGUAGGCGGUUUGUCGCGUCUGCUGUGAAAACCCGAGGCUCAACCUCGGGCCUGCAGUGGGUACGGGCAGACUAGAGUGCGGUAGGGGAGAUUAGAAUUCCUGGUGUAGCGGUGGAAUGCGCAGAUAUCAGGAGGAACACCAAUGGCGAAGGCAGAUCUCUGGGCCGUAACUGACGCUGAGGAGCGAAAGCAUGGGGAGCGAACAGG
rnacentral:rRNA from 1 species